rnacentral:tRNA from 1 species
GCCCCGAUGCUGAAAUUGGUAGACAGGCUAGCUUCAGAAGCUAGUGUCCGCAAGGACGUGAGAGUUCGAAUCUCUCUUGGGGCA